rnacentral:rRNA from 1 species
GGGUGAGUAACGCGUAUCCAACCUGCCCACCACUUGGGGAUAACCUUGCGAAAGUAAGACUAAUACCCAAUGAUAUCUCUAGAAGGCAUCUGAAAGAGAUUAAAGAUUUAUCGGUGAUGGAUGGGGAUGCGUCUGAUUAGCUUGUUGGCGGGGUAACGGCCCACCAAGGCAACGAUCAGUAGGGGUUCUGAGAGGAAGGUCCCCCACAUUGGAACUGAGACACGGUCCAAACUCCUACGGGAGGCAGCAGUGAGGAAUAUUGGUCAAUGGACGAGAGUCUGAACCAGCCAAGUAGCGUGCAGGAUGACGGCCCUAUGGGUUGUAAACUGCUUUUAUAAGGGAAUAAAGUGAGUCUCGUGAGACUUUUUGCAUGUACCUUAUGAAUAAGGACCGGCUAAUUCCGUGCCAGCAGCCGCGGUAAUACGGAAGGUCCGGGCGUUAUCCGGAUUUAUUGGGUUUAAAGGGAGCGUAGGCCGGAGAUUAAGCGUGUUGUGAAAUGUAGAUGCUCAACAUCUGAACUGCAGCGCGAACUGGUUUCCUUGAGUACGCACAAAGUGGGCGGAAUUCGUGGUGUAGCGGUGAAAUGCUUAGAUAUCACGAAGAACUCCGAUUGCGAAGGCAGCUCACUGGAGCGCAACUGACGCUGAAGCUCGAAAGUGCGGGUAUCGAACAGGAUUAGAUACCCUGGUAGUCCGCACGGUAAACGAUGGAUGCCCGCUGUUGGUCUGAAUAGGUCAGCGGCCAAG